rnacentral:rRNA from 1 species
AGCGAACGCUGGCGGCAGGCCUAACACAUGCAAGUCGAACGAUCCUUCGGGAUAGUGGCGGACGGGUGAGUAACACGUGGGAACGUACCUUUAGGUUAGGGAUAACUCAGGGAAACUUGAGCUAAUACCGGAUAAGCCCUUUUGGGGAAAGAUUUAUCGCCUUUAGAGCGGCCCGCGUUAGAUUAGCUAGUUGGUGGGGUAAAGGCCCACCAAGGCUCCGAUCUAUAGCUGGUCUGAGAGGAUGAUCAGCCACACUGGGACUGAGACACGGCCCAGACUCCUACGGGAGGCAGCAGUGGGGAAUCUUGCGCAAUGGGCGAAAGCCUGACGCAGCCAUGCCGCGUGAAUGAUGAAGGUCUUAGGAUUGUAAAAUUCUUUUAGCAGGGACGAUAAUGACGGUACCUGCAGAAAAAGCCCCGGCUAACUUCGUGCCAGCAGCCGCCGCGGUAA